rnacentral:ncRNA from 2 species
GCAUACCUUCAGGGCGGGGUGUAAGUCCCCACCGGCGGUGAUUUUAUCGUCAAUGAUAAAUAAGCCCGCGAGCCAUUUUUUUGUGGUCAUAGCAAAGAAAAUUGGCAGAUCUGGUCUGAGCUUACGUUAAGGUCAUCCUUCUAUCCAGUUUGGUAGGGGAUGCAGAGUGAGUUUGGGUAUAUUCCAGAGCCGACGGUGAUAGUCCGGAUGGGAGAGGGUGUGA